rnacentral:lncRNA from 1 species
UCAAGUAUUGAUUAGAAUUAGAUCAAUUAAAUUUAAUGAUCAUAUAAUUAUUGUUGAUCAAAUCAAUUAAAUCUCAUAUGUACAAUCGAUUAACCUAAGGACCUAAUUUGAUUCGAUAGUUUGAGCAUGAUUCACUUGAGUUAAUCUUUUUGGACCAAUUGACCUAUUGGUGUCUAAGGUAAGUAAUUAUGAGGUAGUUAUUUAAUUGAUUUCAUUAGCUUAUCUGACUAAUUUAUUGAUAUCUAAGGAAAAC